UACGGAGGGUGCAAGCGUUAAUCGGAAUUACUGGGCGUAAAGCGCGCGUAGGCGGCUGGAUAAGUCGAUUGUGAAAGCCCCGGGCUCAACCUGGGAAUUGCAGUCGAGACUGUUCGGCUAGAGUGUGGGAGAGGGCAGUGGAAUUCCCGAUGUAGCGGUGAAAUGCGUAGAUAUCGGGAGGAACAUCAGUGGCGAAGGCGACUGCCUGGCCCAACACUGACGCUGAGGUGCGAAAGCGUGGGUAGCAAACAGG
rnacentral:rRNA from 1 species